AAUCAACGCUGGCGGCGUGCCUCAGACAUGCAAGUCGAACGAUUAAAGCUCUCUUCGGAGAGUGGUAUAGAGUGGCGCACGGGUGAGUAACACGUAAGUAAUCUACCCUCGAGUGGGGAAUAACAACCGGAAACGGUUGCUAAUACCGCAUAAUGCAGCGGCACCGCAAGGUGACAGUUGUUAAAGAUUUAUCGCUUGAGGAGGAGCUUGCGGCAGAUUAGCUAGUUGGUAGGGUAACGGCUUACCAAGGCUACGAUCUGUAACCGGUCUAAGAGGACGGUCGGUCACACUGACACUGAAUAACGGGUCAGACUCCUACGGGAGGCAGCAGUCGGGAAUUUUGGGCAAUGGGCGAAAGCCUGACCCAGCAACGCCGCGUGAAGGAUGAAGUAUUUCGGUAUGUAAACUUCGAAAGAAUAGGAAGAAUUAAUGACGGUACUAUUUAUAAGGUCCGGCUAACUACGUG
rnacentral:rRNA from 1 species